AUGCACGCUGGCGGCGUGCCUCAUACAUGCAAGUCGAGCGAACAGACGAGGAGCUUGCUCCUUUGACGUUAGCGGCGGACGGGUGAGUAACACGUAGGUAACCUACCUAUAAGACUGGGAUAACUUCGGGAAACCGGAGCUAAUACCGGAUAAUAUUUCGAACCGCAUGGUUCGAUAGUGAAAGAUGGCUUUGCUAUCACUUAUAGAUGGACCUGCGCCGUAUUAGCUAGUUGGUAAGGUAACGGCUUACCAAGGCAACGAUACGUAGCCGACCUGAGAGGGUGAUCGGCCACACUGGAACUGAGACACGGUCCAGACUCCUACGGGAGGCAGCAGUAGGGAAUCUUCCGCAAUGGGCGAAAGCCUGACGGAGCAACGCCGCGUGAGUGAUGAAGGUCUUCGGAUCGUAAAACUCUGUUAUUAGGGAAGAACAAACGUGUAAGUAACUGUGCACGUCUUGACGGUACCUAAUCAGAAAGCCACGGCUAACUACGUG
rnacentral:rRNA from 1 species